rnacentral:rRNA from 1 species
UUUGGACCCACCUGAUUCCAUCCCGAACUCAGAAGUGAAACGAAGUAGCGCCGAUGGUAGUGUGGGGUUUCCCCAUGUGAGAGUAGGACAUCGCCAGGC